GGCUUCUGCAGAUUGGUUCCAAUGUAUACGUCCUUGAGGUCUCCUGGGCAACACACGCUACAUGAUCGAACUUACUGCCACCUUCGCACUGCUUCGCUGAUGACGUCAUCGAGGAAGACUGCACAUUGCUGCUACUCAUGGAAUUCUGUUGCCUCACCGCGCCUGUCUUCCUUUGAUACCCGUGACAAGGAGAUGGAGCUGGCUUCUGCAGAUUGGUUCCAAUGUAUACGUCCUUGAGGUCUCCUGGGCAACACACGCUACAUGAUCGAACUUACUGCCACCUUCGCACUGCUUCGCUGAUGACGUCAUCGAGGAAGACUGCACAUUGCUGCUACUCAUGGAAUUCUGUUGCCUCACCGCGCCUGUCUUCCUUUGAUACCCGUGACAAGGAGAUGGAGCUGGCUUCUGCAGAUUGUUUCCAAUGUAUACGUC
rnacentral:lncRNA from 1 species